rnacentral:rRNA from 1 species
GAUGAACGCUGGCGGCGUGCUUAAUACAUGCAAGUCGAACGAAUGGAUGUCUAGCUUGCUAGACUGAAGUUAGUGGCGAACGGGUGAGUAAUACAUAGGCAAUCUGCCCUGAAGUGUGGGAUAGCUAUUGGAAACGAUAAUUAAUACCGCAUAGGUAGUAGGAAGGCAUCUUCCUAACUAUUAAAGGAUGCGUUUGCAUCGCUGCAGGAUGAGCUUAUGGUGUAUUAGCUAGUUGGUGGGGUAAAGGCCUACCAAGACCAUGAUACGUAGCCGACCUGAGAGGGUGAUCGGCCACACUGGGACUGAGGACACGGCCCAGACUCCUACGGGAGGCAGCAGUGGGAAUCUUCCACAAUGGGUGAAAACCUGAUGGAGCAAUGCCGCGUGAAUGAAGAAGGUCUUCGGGAUCGUAAAGUUCUGUUAUUAGAG